AGAGUUUGAUCCUGGCUCAGGAUGAACGCUAGCGACAGGCUUAACACAUGCAAGUCGAGGGGCAGCACGGGUAGCAAUACCGGGUGGCGACCGGCGCACGGGUGAGUAACGCGUAUGCAACUUGCCUAUCAGAGGGGGAUAACCCGGCGAAAGUCGGACUAAUACCGCAUGAAGCAGGGAUCCCGCAUGGGAAUAUUUGCUAAAGAUUCAUCGCUGAUAGAUAGGCAUGCGUUCCAUUAGGCAGUUGGCGGGGUAACGGCCCACCAAACCGACGAUGGAUAGGGGUUCUGAGAGGAAGGUCCCCCACAUUGGUACUGAGACACGGACCAAACUCCUACGGGAGGCAGCAGUGAGGAAUAUUGGUCAAUGGCCGAGAGGCUGAACCAGCCAAGUCGCGUGAGGGAUGAAGGUUCUAUGGAUCGUAAACCUCUUUUAUAAGGGAAUAAAGUGCGGGACGUGUCCCGUUUUGUAUGUACCUUAUGAAUAAGGAUCGGCUAACUCCGUGCCUGCAGCCGCGGUAAUACGGAGGAUCCGAGCGUUAUCCGGAUUUAUUGGGUUUAAAGGGUGCGUAGGCGGCCUUUUAAGUCAGCGGUGAAAGUCUGUGGCUCAACCAUAGAAUUGCCGUUGAAACUGGGGGGCUUGAGUAUGUUUGAGGCAGGCGGAAUGCGUGGUGUAGCGGUGAAAUGCAUAGAUAUCACGCAGAACCCCGAUUGCGAAGGCAGCCUGCCAAGCCAUUACUGACGCUGAUGCACGAAAGCGUGGGGAUCAAACAGGAUUAGAUACCCUGGUAGUCCACGCAGUAAACGAUGAUCACUAGCUGUUUGCGAUACACUGUAAGCGGCACAGCGAAAGCGUUAAGUGAUCCACCUGGGGAGUACGCCGGCAACGGUGAAACUCAAAGGAAUUGACGGGGGCCCGCACAAGCGGAGGAACAUGUGGUUUAAUUCGAUGAUACGCGAGGAACCUUACCCGGGUUUGAACGCAUUCGGACCGAGGUGGAAACACCUUUUCUAGCAAUAGCCGUUUGCGAGGUGCUGCAUGGUUGUCGUCAGCUCGUGCCGUGAGGUGUCGGCUUAAGUGCCAUAACGAGCGCAACCCUUGCCACUAGUUACUAACAGGUAAAGCUGAGGACUCUGGUGGGACUGCCAGCGUAAGCUGCGAGGAAGGCGGGGAUGACGUCAAAUCAGCACGGCCCUUACAUCCGGGGCGACACACGUGUUACAAUGGCGUGGACAAAGGGAGGCCACCUGGCGACAGGGAGCGAAUCCCCAAACCACGUCUCAGUUCGGAUCGGAGUCUGCAACCCGACUCCGUGAAGCUGGAUUCGCUAGUAAUCGCGCAUCAGCCAUGGCGCGGUGAAUACGUUCCCGGGCCUUGUACUCACCGCCCGUCAAG
rnacentral:rRNA from 1 species